UAAGGAAUUAAUCUUUACAAGUUAUCUAUUCAUUCAUCUAAUACCAGCAAUAUUCAAAAAGCAUUUAAUCUUUACAAAGACAAGGAAUACAAGUCAAAUCAUCCAAAUUUACAUAUGGAAUACUAUCUGCUUCACAUAGAACAAAUGUCAAUAUGUAUGAUCGCCUCUGAUGCUAGGAAAGCAUGGUACUUCUUAGCAAGCUUUUUGACCAGCUUCUUGAUUGCACACUGGAAAUAAGUCACAACCAUGAAGCAACACCACUUUCCACCACUUU
rnacentral:lncRNA from 1 species